AGACGGACAGAGAGGAAGAAAAAGGAAGGAGAGGAAAGGAAAGGAAGAAAGGAAGAGAAAAGGAAAGGAAGAAAGGAAGAGGAAGGAGAUUCCGGUUGCGCUGCCAGCUGAAGAAAAAAGUGUAGAUCUCCUUCCCCUCUACGCAAGGACCUCGAUUUCCAAAAAGAAAAAGGUAAAUAUCCGUCCCUAUCUAGUCUUUUGAUGACAUUAGGCUAUACAAAGGGUGGAUAUAGUCUAGAGGGGUCGGAUAAGGGUUGUAGAGGCGGUUAAAAGAGGAAGAAUCGGAUUUUGACAAAUUUUUCCGGCACUACGGAAAAACUGUGUCGAAGUCCCAACUUCGGCGAAUUAUUUAGGGGGUCAAACGACCUCCGAUAGCAAUGCAUGUUACCUCUUUAGAAUCUCCUAUGAGUGUAGAAUGUUAGGUAAAAAUUUCAUCAAAUUUGGAGUCCUGAAAGUGGAUCAAACCCGGGAUGAAGUAACCGGCUGUCGGUCCGGAUUACUGUUCAUCCGGGUGGAAAAUGGGGGAUUUCAUACUAUAAUAGGGUAUUAAGCCUAGAUCAAGCUAAAAGGGACCUUGUACUCAUGCAAGGGAAUCCCUGGUAUACAUAAAUGAUGAGUUAAUUAAUAAAAAAGAAAAAAAGAAAGAAAAGAAAAGAUUUAGGGAACGGGGGAGUUGAAUCAAUUAAAGUUCCCUAUAUUAUAAUUGGCACGUAGAUUAUAGCCCUUGAUACAAAACUAAAUAUAUUGUAAAUGCAUGUCACAGUUGGGCAAGAAGCUAGGGAACAAGAGGAAGAAGUUCCCCACUGCCAGCUGUAGAUUUUUGGAGGCGUAUCAGGGCUGUGCCAGAUUGACAGGUGAGUGGGAGUCAUGUACUUUGCACCAUGAGCAUCCUUAAUUUAUUUUCAUGAAUGUCGCCAAGUGUGAUUUGAUUCCACUUGAGCAUAUUGAUUGAUAUUGUAGUAGAUUCCUCUAUAAUCUUGAUUCUCUAUGCUUGAUUAUUCUAUACAUGCAUUUGAGGAAACAUUGAGAGGAAAUAUGAGGGGUUGAUGAGUAAUCAAAUUGAUUCCGAAUUGUGAAAUGAUUUUUUUUGUAAAUUGAUUUCAUUUCCUCUAUUUUAAAGACUUGUGAGUCGUAGCUUGAUUAUACUCUUUUAUGAGUAAUUAAAUUGGUUCCAAAUUGUGAAAUAACUUCUUUUGUAAAUUGAUUUCAUUUCCUCUAUUUCAAAGAUUUGUAGAGCCUUUUUAGUGGUAUAUUGAGUUGUAUUGCACUUCCUUGACCCUCACUCCUAACCCUGAUGUUAGUUUAUGAUUGGGUCAUGAUCAAGUGAGUGGUAGUCUUGAUCAUACUCCUUUUUAGUAGAGUAUUGGAAGGGUGCAUUAUGGCAUUUAUGCAUGGCUUGGCAGUAUCUGCAGAACACCUAUAGUCGAUGGGGGUUGAACAUCGGCCUUUGUGCACAUAGUAGCCUUCUGGGUGGGCGGAGCCCAGUCCCUUCCUAGGGGGGAC
rnacentral:lncRNA from 1 species